CGUAGGCAGCGAGCGUUGUUCGGAGUUACUGGGCGUAAAGCGUGCGUAGGCGGUCUUGUAAGUUUGGUGUGAAAUCUCCCGGCUCAACUGGGAGGGUGCGCCGAAAACUGCAAGGCUGGAGUAUGGGAGAGGUAGGCGGAAUUCCUGGUGUAGCGGUGAAAUGCGUAGAUAUCAGGAGGAACACCUGUGGUGUAGACGGCUUACUGGACCAUGACUGACGCUGAGGCACGAAAGCGUGGGGAGCAAACAGGAUUAGAUACCCUGGUAGUCCACGCCCUAAACGAUGCAUACUUGGUGUGGUUAAUUCAUUUUAUCCGUGCCGGAGCUAACGCGUUAAGUAUGCCGCCUGGGGAGUACGGUCGCAAGGCUG
rnacentral:rRNA from 1 species